UUUCCGUAGGUGAACCUGCGGAAGGAUCAUUAUUGUAUAACCGAGGUGCGAGGGCUGUCGCUGACCCGAAAGGUCGUGCACGCUCGGGUGCCCUCACACACAUCCAUCUCACCCCUAUGUGCACCACCGCGUGGGUCCCCCUUUGGCUUGUUCGGAGGGGGGCUUACGUUUUCACACAAACUUUGUAUGCAGUGUAGAAUGUAUUUUUUGUUUUUGCGAUCACGCAAUCAAUACAACUUUCAACAACGGAUCUCUUGGCUCUC
rnacentral:misc_RNA from 1 species